rnacentral:rRNA from 2 species
UUGACCUCGGACCAGGU